rnacentral:rRNA from 1 species
CCCUUAGAUGUCCGGGGCUGCACGCGCGCUACACUGAAGGAAUCAGCGUGCUAAAACCAUUGUCGAAAGGCAUUGGUAAACCCAUUAAAAUCCUACGUGAUUGGGAUCGGGAAUUGCAAUUAUUUCCCUUGAACGAGGAAUUCCCAGUAAGUGUGGGUCAUAAGCUCGCGUUGAUUACGUCCCUGCCCUUUGUACACACCGCCCGUCGCUGCCCGGGACUGAGCCGUUUCGAGAAAAGCGGGGACUGCUGCUGUCGGGGCUUUCGGGCCUGGCUUCGGUGGAAACCGCUUUAAUCGCAGUGGCUUGAACCGGGCAAAAGUCGUAACA